CAUUAGAUGACUGAAAGUAAGUACUGGUCUCUUAAACCAUUUCAUGGUAAAUUAACAACUACCUCUAAUGA
rnacentral:tRNA from 1 species